CUCACUCACAAAUCUACAACAACAGUUUCUUUAUAAAAUAAAAUCCCAUGAUCCAAUUCCAUUCCAAUCCCUGAUCUCUCCUUGCGAUUAGAUUCCCAUUUCCCAUCUCCAUUUUUGUCUCUUUCUUCCAUCAUUUACUUCUACUGUUUUGAAUCAAGGAUAAUUUCUGCUUUUUCCAGAUCGGAGCUCUAAUCCAACUCACCGAUGGCCGUUGCCACCGAUAAGCUCACUCC
rnacentral:misc_RNA from 1 species